UGUAAAACUUUGAUAGGUUAUUCUUGCCUCUUAAUUUCAUGAUUUUCUUGAAGAUAAUGUAGCAAUUUUGUGUUGCUACAUAUCAUGGCCAUUUAUAUAUGUUGUUUCCCCAAGUUAAUCAUAUUUUAGCAUGUUUAUAGGGUUGGUAGUGGAUUCACUUCCCUAGUCCUCUCUACUUACGUUUCACUCCUUUUAAUCUCAUUCAAUUUAUUGUCUUAUGCACAUUUUAAUUCUAAGUCACCUAGUGACAAACCAAACAAAAACUCUACAUAACCUUCAUCAAACUAAGUGGUUUUAAUGACCUAGGUUGCCAUAAACUAGCAAUCCUAGUAGUUCGACUUACCCGAACAAUAGCUCUAUUUUACAAUGAUUCGUGAUAUAUCAAAGGGUUGAUUAUUAUUGAGAUCUUCAACUAGAAUGAUCAAUUUUUUGUGCCGUUGCCAGGGAUUGCUAACGCUUAUGUAACCGAGGUUCAAAGAUUAACUUUGGUUUGAUUGUGAUGAGCGCUGAAAGGUCAAUAAUGUUAAAAUGGGCUAAAAAUGGUUUCUUAAAGCCUUUUUGGAGUCAAACUAAGUCUUAGUGAUGAUCCGGAGCAAAAAGAGGACGAUUUGAAGCAAAAAGAGGCUGAGGCAGAAAAUCUGUCAAGUUGGAUCCAUCCAACUCUCAAGUUGGAUCCAUCCAACUUUCUGAGAAAAAUUGGAUCGAUCGAAAAUCAAAGUUGGAUCGAUCCAACUUUCUGAAAAACUUAGAUCGAUCAAAAAUCAAAGUUAGAUCAAUCCAACUUUCUGAAAAAGUUGGAUCGAUCGAAAAUCAAAGUUGGAUCGAUCGAACUUUUACUGGCAGCGAGCUAUCUUAUUCCGUGCGUGCCCAAAAGUCCACCUAUCACAUAGUACGGGAUUAGAUAUUUUUGGGCCUAUAUUCCUGACUUAAUAACUAAGAAAAGGAUCUUCUAUAUAAAAAGAAGUGACCCAUUUGUAAAGGAGUUUUUUAUCUUUUUAUUUUUUACAUUGUAUUUUUUAUUUCUCUCUCUAGUAAAGUUAGAGAUUAGGGUUAGAAGAAAAGAAGGAAGUGGAGGCACAUCUCAAGACCUAUCUCUAGACCCACUCUCUCUCCAUCUCUAGAGCUUCAAAAAAGAAGAAGAAGAAGAGGAAAAAGAAGAUGGAGCCAUGUUUGAAGCUUGAUUCCAUGACCACAUCCACCUCCUCCAUAAUUGGCUAGAUCUAUACUUAGGGCUUGGAUGAGCCCUAAGUCUUGUGUAAUCUAAACCCUUGUAUUUCUAUUUUUGGGUAUUUAUAUAUAUUGUUGUGAUUAGUAUUCUA